rnacentral:lncRNA from 1 species
UUUUUUUUUUUUUUUUUAACUUUAAGAAAAUGACUCAAGGGGUAGUUAUAGAUAUUUGGCCUGAUUUUAAUAGGCGAAGGGAAUGAGCUCCAGAGGUCAAUAAACCCCUCCAAAAUGAUGAAUGAUUGAGUACCUGUGAUGAUGAUAGUGAUUACCGGAGCAAUUAAACAGUUUGAUUAAAUGAGCCAUCAUAACAAUGAUGUCUGCGGGAAAUCAGCCCUCACGUAUAAAGAAAGAUAGUGUGGAGAGCUGACAAACGCCAGUGGGCAUUCCUGCAUGUUCCGCUAGCGCCGAGCCCUGCAGAGCAAGGCUGUAUUUACAAAUAUGAGAGGAAUACGGAGAAAAGUCCCUCUCCUACUUAGAGCCAGAGUUGCACCCUGCUUAAAACCCGCCAGAAGCCGGAGAGCAGACACGGGGUUUUCUUUUUCCUAGAGGAUGUCCUCCAAGAUUAAAGCUAGUCCUAAGAGCAACCGAAUUGCUGUGACUGACUUUCACGGGACUGUAAAGAGAGGUGCAUGUUGGAGCAGCCAUAAGGGUGAAGUUCAACAGUGACCUUUCUUUAGAAGAUGUCAUGAUUGCAGAAGG